UAUGAGGAAUUAUCAAAGGGGUAUAAACUGCAUGAACAAACUUAUAAUAAAUUUAGGCUAAUUAUUAUUGUGAGAUUAAUGACUUCAGUUUAAUUGACUAUAAUUUGAAGUACAUACCUUUCAUUAUGGAUUCUCUGUUAACUUUCUAGUAUUGAUCCAAGCAUUGAAACAGAGCCAGAAAACCUUUCUGCAAUAAUCAUGACACUGGUGAAGACGAUGAGAAAUCAGGCGUAAAAAUGGUUCACUACAUGUGAUUGUAACUAUGUUUUUAAUUAGGGUGAAUGUAUUAGUGAUCAUGAUGAUGAAGAUAUUGUACUGAGAGACUUAUGAAUGAUAGUCACAAGUGUGAAUUUUUGAUGUGGAAGAUUAUUCUGGAAAUAUUAGUAUAGUAGGUGCUCCUUUAAUUCAUAUUAAUUUAUUAAUUUAGCAAGGCCACUAGUAUACAUUCUAUAGUUACCUUAUCUCACUAAGUUUCAAGACAAGAAUAUCUUAGCUCUUGUUAAGUUCACUUCAAAUAGCAUUGAAUUUUUUUGUGAACCUGCCUUCAUCAUGCUGGUUAAGGAAGUUAUGUUAUGGAACUAAGCUUUGUAGGACUAUGUGUGACAAGAUACCUUUGAAAGAUCUGCUUCACUACAUGGAACCCAAGAGUUCAUUAAUGUUGGAGAUUUUGGGAAAUUAAUUUCUCAGUAAUAACAUUGGUAGACUAUGAUGAAGAAAACAAUUAUAAUCUUUUUUUUGGUUUUAAUAAUAAUUCCAAAUCAUUUUAAAUUAA